AUUGAACGCUGGCGGCAGGCCUAACACAUGCAAGUCGAGCGGAUGAAGGGAGCUUGCUCCUGGAUUCAGCGGCGGACGGGUGAGUAAUGCCUAGGAAUCUGCCUGGUAGUGGGGGAUAACGUCCGGAAACGGGCGCUAAUACCGCAUACGUCCUGAGGGAGAAAGUGGGGGAUCUUCGGACCUCACGCUAUCAGAUGAGCCUAGGUCGGAUUAGCUAGUUGGUGGGGUAAAGGCCUACCAAGGCGACGAUCCGUAACUGGUCUGAGAGGAUGAUCAGUCACACUGGAACUGAGACACGGUCCAGACUCCUACGGGAGGCAGCAGUGGGGAAUUUUGGACAAUGGGCGAAAGCCUGAUCCAGCCAUGCCGCGUGUGUGAAGAAGGUCUUCGGAUUGUAAAGCACUUUAAGUUGGGAGGAAGGGCAGUAAGUUAAUACCUUGCUGUUUUGACGUUACCAACAGAAUAAGCACCGGCUAACUUCGU
rnacentral:rRNA from 1 species